AUUGAACGCUGGCGGCAUGCCUUACACAUGCAAGUCGAACGGUAACAGGGAGCUUGCUCCGCUGACGAGUGGCGAACGGGUGAGUAAUGCGUCGGAACGUACCGAGUAAUGGGGGAUAACGCACCGAAAGGUGUGCUAAUACCGCAUACGCCCUGAGGGGGAAAGUGGGGGAUCGCAAGACCUCACGUUAUUCGAGCGGCCGACGUCUGAUUAGCUAGUUGGUGGGGUAAUGGCUCACCAAGGCGACGAUCAGUAGCGGGUCUGAGAGGAUGAUCCGCCACACUGGGACUGAGACACGGCCCAGACUCCUACGGGAGGCAG
rnacentral:rRNA from 1 species